rnacentral:rRNA from 1 species
GAUGAACGCUGGCGGCGUGCUUAACGCAUGCAAGUCGAACGUGAGGGUGUAGCAAUAUGCCUGAAAGUGGCGAACGGGUGAGUAACACGUAGAUGACCUGCCCUGGAGUGGGGGAUAACCAUUGGAAACGGUGGCUAAUACCGCAUACAUCCAGAAGAUUGGGAAAUUUUCGGGGGAAAGCUCUGGUGCUCCGAGAGGGGUCGGCGUCCGAUUAGCUAGUUGGUGAGGUAAAGGCUCACCAAGGCGACGAUCGGUAGCUGGUCUGAGAGGACGAUCAGCCACACGGGAACUGAGACACGGUCCCGACUCCUACGGGGGGCAGCAGUGAGGAAUAUUGGGCAAUGGGCGAGAGCCUGACCCAGCAACGCCGCGUGGAGGAAGACGGCCUUCGGGUUGUAAACUCCUUUUGACAGGGAAGAGAGAGGACGGUACCUGUCGAAUAAGUCACGGCUAACUACGUGCCAGCAGCCGCCGUAAAAC